UACGGGAGGCAGCAGUGGGGAAUAUUGCACAAUGGGCGCAAGCCUGAUGCAGCCAUGCCGCGUGUAUGAAGAAGGCCUUCGGGUUGUAAAGUACUUUCAGUCGUGAGGAAGGUGUUAAGGUUAAUAACCUUAGCAAUUGACGUUAGCGACAGAAGAAGCACCGGCUAACUCCGUGCCAGCAGCCGCGGUAAUACGGAGGGUGCGAGCGUUAAUCGGAAUUACUGGGCGUAAAGGGCACGCAGGCGGUUAAUUAAGUUGGAUGUGAAAUCCCCGGGCUUAACCUGGGAAUGGCAUUCAAGACUGGUUAGCUAGAGUCUUGUAGAGGGGGUAGAAUUCCAUGUGUAGCGGUGAAAUGCGUAGAGAUGUGGAGGAAUACCGGUGGGCGAAGGCGGCCCCUGGGACAAAGGACUGACGCUCAUGUGCGAAAGCGUGGGGAGGCAAACAGGGAUUAGAUACC
rnacentral:rRNA from 1 species